rnacentral:lncRNA from 1 species
UUUGUUAGUCUGACUUUUUUCUUCCGGUCGUGCCGCUCUUUCCUAGUCUGGCUCGGAUUAAAUUUCAUACUGAUCUUGUUGAUUGGAUCUGCUUGUAUUUGGCUGUACGUAUUGUCCUUGCCGAACUGAUUUUCAAAUGGAUUGGUCCUGCCCUUACCGACUGCAUGUAUUAGUUUGCUAUUGCGCUCACCAAAUUGAUUUUCAAUUGGAUUGGCCUUGAUUGCCCUUGUUCAGAUAUCCCGUGAUUUGUUUUGACAGCAGUCGGAUUGAUUUUGUUUCCAUAGCAAAUACCGUGAUUAGAGCGAGAUUGAUUUGAUUCCGUAGCUGGUUGAUAGACCCUACGAUUAAAUCUAGACCGUACGAUAACUAUUGUAAAAUCUAGACCGUAGAAUUUCUACUACUACUUUAAUUAGAUAUUAGAUAAACCAUUUCGAACCUGCGUCGGUUUAUUGGUUUCUGCUGUGCGGUUGUGCGCUCCAUGGUCUGCAGUGAAAUUAAGGAGCAGAGAGUGUAUCUCACCGAUCAACCGGAUGCCAAUACACGGCCCUGACGGACCGAUCGAGAUUUGCUUUCAGCUGGAAGUUAAUCAGCUCCUCAGAUCAGCAGCACCCGCAAUUUUGAUGUACAUAAUUGAUUUUUAAUUGGUAU